rnacentral:rRNA from 1 species
GACGGAGGAUGCAAGCGUUAUCCGGAAUGAUUGGGCGUAAAGCGUCCGCAGGUGGCAGUUCAAGUCUGCUGUCAAAGACCGGGGCUUAACUUCAGAAAGGCAGUGGAAACUGAACAGCUAGAGUAUGGUAGGGGCAGAGGGAAUUCCUGGUGUAGCGGUGAAAUGCGUAGAGAUCAGGAAGAACAUCGGUGGCGAAGGCGCUCUGCUGGACCAUAACUGACACUCAGGGACGAAAGCUAGGGGAGCGAAUGGG